rnacentral:rRNA from 1 species
GACGAACGCUGGCGGCGUGCUUAACACAUGCAAGUCGAACGGAAAGGCCCUGCUUUUGUGGGGUGCUCGAGUGGUGAACGGGUGAGUAACCCGUGAGUAACCUGCCCUUGACUUUGGGAUAACUUCAGGAAACUGGGGCUAAUACCGGAUAGGAGCUCCUGCUGCAUGGUGGGGGUUGGAAAGUUUCGGCGGUUGGGGAUGGACUCGCGGCUUAUCAGCUUGUUGGUGGGGUAGUGGCUUACCAAGGCUUUGACGGGUAGCCGGCCUGAGAGGGUGACCGGCCACAUUGGGACUGAGAUACGGCCCAGACUCCUACGGGAGGCAGCAGUGGGGAAUAUUGCACAAUGGGCGGAAGCCUGAUGCAGCAACGCCGCGUGCGGGAUGACGGCCUUCGGGUUGUAAACCGCUUUCGCCUGUGACGAAGCGUGAGUGACGGUAAUGGGUAAAGAAGCACCGGCUAACUACGUG